rnacentral:rRNA from 2 species
AAAUUGAAGAGUUUGAUCAUGGCUCAGAUUGAACGCUGGCGGCAGGCCUAACACAUGCAAGUCGAACGGUAACAGGAAGCAGCUUGCUGCUUUGCUGACGAGUGGCGGACGGGUGAGUAAUGUCUGGGAAACUGCCUGAUGGAGGGGGAUAACUACUGGAAACGGUGGCUAAUACCGCAUAACGUCGCAAGACCAAAGAGGGGGACCUUCGGGCCUCUUGCCAUCAGAUGUGCCCAGAUGGGAUUAGCUUGUUGGUGAGGUAACGGCUCACCAAGGCGACGAUCCCUAGCUGGUCUGAGAGGAUGACCAGCCACACUGGAACUGAGACACGGUCCAGACUCCUACGGGAGGCAGCAGUGGGGAAUAUUGCACAAUGGGCGCAAGCCUGAUGCA